rnacentral:tRNA from 1 species
AGAAAGGUAAGCUAAAUUUUAAGCUAAUAGGUUCAUACCCUACUUAUAGAGUCAACUCUCCUCUCUA